AUGGACAGUCGUGCCUCUUGGUGCCCUCCAAGACUGGGAUUUAUCAAGGUCAAUAUCAAUGGAGCGUGGGCCGACGCUGCUAGUUCGGCAGGUUUUGGGGUGAUCUUGCGUGACUCAACUGGUGCUUUUUGUGGUGGAACAGCGGGUCCUAACUCUUGUGAGUCGGCCCUUAUGUCUGAAGCCGAAGCGGCUCUUUCUGGUUUGAAGCUGGCUGCACAGUUUGGGCAUCACAGAAUAUCUUGGCAUCUGAUUCCAAAGUUUUAGUUGAUGGUUUAAAUGGAAAGAUGGGUAAUAGAGCUUGGACUAUCUUGCCUAUUAUCAAGGACAUAAGGAAGUUGGCGAUAUCUUUUGUUUCUAGUGAGUGGUGCUGGGCUCCUAGAGGCCAAAAUAUGGCUGCACAUGAAGCUGCAAAGCUUGGUAGAGGUCUGGUGGAAGCGUGAUGCUGGCUCAAUAGAGCUCCACUUGCUCUCAUGCACGUUCUCAAUUCGGAUGGUCUACCUGGUCCACCUUAG
rnacentral:lncRNA from 1 species